CCUUUUCUCUCCCUUUCUGG
rnacentral:miRNA from 1 species